AUCGACCGAUAGUGAACCAGUACCGUGAGGGAAAGGCGAAAAGAACCCCGGGAGGGGAGUGAAAUAGAUCCUGAAACCGCAUGCAUACAAACAGUCGGAGCCUUCGCAAGGGGGUGACGGCGUACCUUUUGUAUAAUGGGUCAGCGACUUACGUUCAGUAGCAAGGUUAACUGAUUAAGGCAGCCGUAGCGAAAGCGAGUCCGAAUAGGGCGUUCAGUUGCUGGGCGUAGACCCGAAACCAAGUGAUCUAUCCAUGGCCAGGUUGAAGGUGCGGUAACACGUACUGGAGGACCGAACCCACUAAUGUUGAAAAAUUAGGGGAUGAGCUGUGGAUAGGGGUGAAAGGCUAAACAAACUUGGAAAUAGCUGGUUCUCUCCGAAAACUAUUUAGGUAGUGCCUCAAGUAUCACCAUCGGGGGUAGAGCACUGUUAUGGCUAGGGGGUCAUCGCGACUUACCAACCCAUUGCAAACUCCGAAUACCGAUGAGUGCGAGCUUGGGAGACAGACGCCGGGUGCUAACGUCCGACGUCAAGAGGGAAACAACCCAGACCGCCAGCUAAGGUCCCAAAGAUUGGCUAAGUGGAAAACGAAGUGGGAAGGCUAAAACAGUCAGGAGGUUGGCUUAGAAGCAGCCAUCCUUUAAAGAAAGCGUAAUAGCUCACUGAUCGAGUCGUCCUGCGCGGAAGAUGUAACGGGGCUAAGCCAGUCACCGAAGCUGCGGAUAUCAAUUUAUUGAUAUGGUAGGAGAGCGUUCUGUAAGCCUGCGAAGGUGUCUUGUAAAGGAUGCUGGAGGUAUCAGAAGUGCGAAUGCUGACAUGAGUAGCGAUAAUGGGGGUGAAAAGCCUCCACGCCGUAAGCCCAAGGUUUCCUGUUCAACGUUCAUCGGAGCAGGGUGAGUCGGCCCCUAAGGCGAGGCAGAGAUGCGUAGCUGAUGGGAAGCAGGUUAAUAUUCCUGCACCGUCGUUAGAUGCGAUGGGGGGACGGAUCGCGGAAGGUUGUCCGGGUGUUGGAAGUCCCGGUAUCUGUAUCAGAGAAGGCUGUUAGGCAAAUCCGGCAGCGUAAUUCAAGGGUAUGGGUCGAGCGAAUUUAUUCGUGAAGCAAUCGGAAGUGGUUCCAAGAAAAGCCUCUAAGCUUCAGUCAUACGAGACCGUACCGCAAACCGACACAGGUGGGCGAGAUGAGUAUUCUAAGGCGCUUGAGAGAACUCGGGAGAAGGAACUCGGCAAAUUGGUACCGUAACUUCGGGAUAAGGUACGCCCCUGUAGCUUGACUGGCCUGCGCCAGGAGGGUGAAGGGGUUGCAAUAAACUGGUGGCUGCGACUGUUUAAUAAAAACACAGCACUCUGCAAACACGAAAGUGGACGUAUAGGGUGUGACGCCUGCCCGGUGCUGGAAGAUUAAAUGAUGGGGUGCAAGCUCUUGAUUGAAGUCCCAGUAAACGGCGGCCGUAACUAUAACGGUCCUAAGGUAGCGAAAUUCCUUGUCGGGUAAGUUCCGACCUGCACGAAUGGAGUAACGAUGGCCACACUGUCUCCUCCCGAGACUCAGCGAAGUUGAAAUGUUUGUGAUGAUGCAAUCUACCCGCGGCUAGACGGAAAGACCCCAUGAACCUUUACUGUAGCUUUGCAUUGGACUUUGAACCAAUCUGUGUAGGAUAGGUGGGAGGCUUUGAAGCGGGGACGCUAGUUCUCGUGGAGCCAACCUUGAAAUACCACCCUGGUUUGUUUGAGGUUCUAACCUUGGUCCGUUAUCCGGAUCGGGGACAGUGCAUGGUAGGCAGUUUGACUGGGGCGGUCUCCUCCCAAAGUGUAACGGAGGAGUACGAAGGUACGCUAGGUACGGUCGGAAAUCGUGCUGAUAGUGCAAUGGCAUAAGCGUGCUUAACUGCGAGACCGACAAGUCGAGCAGGUGCGAAAGCAGGUCAUAGUGAUCCGGUGGUUCUGUAUGGAAGGGCCAUCGCUCAACGGAUAAAAGGUACUCUGGGGAUAACAGGCUGAUUCCUCCCAAGAGUUCAUAUCGACGGGGGAGUUUGGCAC
rnacentral:rRNA from 1 species